rnacentral:rRNA from 1 species
AUGCCUAUGAAUCUGCCUGGGACUGAGGGAUAACGUUCGCUAACGGAAACUGAUACCGAAUACGUCCUACGGCAUAAAGCCAGGGAGCUUCAGGUCUUGGCCUCUCACAUGAGCAUGUGUCGGAUUAGCUUUAUGGUGAGGGAGUGGCUCAGCCUCGCCACGAUCCCUAUCUGGUCUGAGACGAAGAUCAUGCCCACUGGAACUGAAACUGAGACCAGACUCCUACUCGCAUUUUAGGUGGGGAAGAUUGAAAUUGGGGCGAAAGCCUGAUCCUGACGUGCCCCGGGUGUGAGGAAGGUCAUCGGAUUGUAAUUGACUUUAACUUUCGAGGAAGGGUAGUGGAUUAGUGCUCUGCACUUUUGACGUUGCCGUUACAAUAAGAACAGGCUAACUCUGUGCCCAGCAGCCGCGCGGUAAUACAAAAAGUGCAAGGCGUUAAUCGGAAUUACAGGGACGUAAAGCGCGCGCAGGUGGUUUGUUAAGUCGGAUGUGAAAUCCCCGCGCCUCAACCUGGGAACUGCAUUGCAAAACUGACUGACUAGAGCUAUGGUAGAGGGUGGUGGAAUUUAAUGUGUAGCGGUAGAAAUGCGUAGAUAUAAGAAGGAACACCAGUGCCGAAGGCGACCACCUGCACUAAUACUGACCCUCAGCUGAGAAAGCAUGGCGAGCAAAGCAGGAUUAGAUACGAUGCCCUGCCACGUCCACGCACUAAACCAUGUCAACUAGGACGUUGGAAGCCUUGACCCUGAUACUUCCGCUACCUAACGCAUUACACGUUGACUCCCCGGCGUGUGCAGUACCGCCGCAAGGUUAAAACUCAAAUGAAUUGACGGGAGCCCGCACAAGCCGGUGCAGCAUGUGAUCAUGUAAUUCAAAGCAACGCGAAGAACAUUACCAUAGCCUAGACAUGCCAAUGCAACUGUUUCUAGAGAUAGAUUGGUGCCUUCGGGAACUUUGAGACAGGUGCUGCAUGGCUGUCGUCAGCUCGUGUUAAGAAAUGUUGGGUUAAGUCCCGCAACGAGCGCAACCCUUGUCCUUAGUUACCAGCCCGGAAUGGUGGGCACUCUAAG